ACUAACACCACCAACCAACACCAUACAUUCUCUGUCUUCUCAUUAUCUAUUUGUUUCUCUCUCCUCUUUCUAGUUCCUUCCACCGCCGGCAGUUUCCCCUCACCAUCGUCGUCACUUUCACCACCAGUCCACCUACCCUCUUACACCGCCACGCUAACUCCAAGCCCGAAAUUCGAGAGCGAAGUGAGAGAAAUCAACUAGGCUAUUUAUCAGACAUCUAGAGAACAACAAUCUAAGUGGAACAGUUCCUAGAAGCCUGCUUCAAAAACCUGGGCUGCGCUUCUCGAUGAUGGAAAUAAUGGCGGAUUAGAGUAGCAAGCAUGCAUGAUACAUCGAGAAGUAUGCGUACAUGGAUAAUGGAAUUGAAGAAUAAUGAAAGAAUGACCUUAAGAUUGAUUUAGGUUUAUUUAAGGAGAUGUAUAUAUUAUGAUUUUAUGAUUUAAUUUUCAGAUUAACUAUUUAUAUUUUAGAUGCAAUAGUAUGUUUUCGAUUGAGUAUACUCUUUGGCUCAUUUUUUUCCAAUGGUCGUUGAGUAUUUCUACUCAUUUAUAUCAAUAAUAUCAUUUUAUUUCCUCUUCAA